rnacentral:rRNA from 1 species
UUUAAUUGAGAGUUUGAUCCUGGCUCAGGACGAACGCUGGCGGCGCGCUUAACACAUGCAAGUCGAGCGAUGAAAUUUUAGCAACUUCCUUCGGGGAGAAGCAAAAAUGGAUUAGCGGCGGACGGGUGAGUAACACGUGAGUAACCUACCUUAGACAUUGGGAUAGCCUCGGGAAACUGGGAUUAAUACCAAAUAAAAUCAUAGAAGCACAUGCAACAAUGAU